CUUUUCUUCUUCCUUCGUCCUUCUUCCCUUCCAUUCUUCUUUUUCGGCCCCUGCCUCCAUCACCGCUGCACAGCGGCACCUCCGUCAGCCACCAUCAACGCUGGCGAAGCUACUAGAAGCCUAAGCAACUAGAAGCUUCCACCACCAUAGCCACUUUCACCUUCUCAUGUCCCUAUCGUCUUUUUGUUCCUUUGUACCCAUUUGGCACCACCGUGCUCCCAACCACCGGAGCUUGGGCCUCUUUGACGUCACGCAGCGUAUGAGGUUGCCGCCGCCUCUCAAAUGCUCCGCCGCAGAACCGGACCAGGAAACCAAGGUGUUCCUCUUCCUUUGGUUGGGAUGUUGGCGUAUGGCUUGGUUGCGGCGCUUAGUCUGCAAUUGGCCACAAAUAAGAUGUUGCCUUUUGGGAUUGGCAGGUCCAGCUCCCAGCUCAUGAUGUUCCAUUCUUUUUGAGUGCUUUCUCAGGUUUGCAGCAGCAUUGAUUAGUCAGAAAUUUGACUGCUGGUGGCCUAACAAACAUGUGAAUUUCUAUGAAACGAUAUUGAACUCUCUCUUGUUGAGUAGCUCAUGUCCUUUAUCUUUGUACAAGGGUUGAAGAAGAAUACAUACAUUUAUUCUGAACCAUUAUGGGCAAUGGUCCAGCACCAUUUUCUGAUAUUGGCAAAAGGGUAAAAGAUCUUUUGUACAAGGAUUAAAACUUUGAUCAGAAGUUUAGCUUGUCAAUUGCUAGCACCACUGGAUUGGUUUGCAGCAGCAUUGAUUAGUCAGAAAUUUGACUGCUGGGUUAUGAACACAAAUUCCAUGUGUGAAGCAUUUGACACCUACCCAAGAACCUAUGAUAAUGUCUAUGUGUUGGAUUUCAAGACAUAGGCAAUGGGAUGGCAAGAUACAUCUGAGGGGCCUCAUGCUAGUUAUAGAGUAUUGGUGUGUGACAAGCACCUGCUACAUGCUUGAAACAAAAUGGGAGGGUCAGCUUAGCAGAGAGAGAUGAGAGAAAGUGAGAAGAGAGAGAGACUAAUGGGAGUAAGGGAGUGAGAAAGGGAAGAAGACGCGAAAAGAGAGGAAGGAUGAAGUCGUCGGCGUUGAUGGUGGCUGACGGAGGCGCGGCUGUGUGGCGGUGAUGGAGCCAGGGGCUGAGGAAGAAGAAUGGAAGGGAAAAGGGACGAAGGAAGAAGAAAAGGACAGAUGAGGGAGGAGACAAAACGGCGUCGUUUUCGUCUCCAGGGACUUAUACGUCCUGUUACGAAAUGCUCCAUGCCACCUGUCCUCCGUUACGGCCACCUCAGCGCCACCUCUGCCAGCUCAUCAUUUUCCGUUCAGUGCAAACGGCUGAAUUCAACGGAAGGACAUAAAUGUCCACGUUUUUCAGGGGUCAGGGACUUGAAUGUAUUUUCCAUUCCUUGAGGACGAAAAUGUCCGUGAAAAAAAAGGUCAGGGACGAAAAUGUCCUUUACUCUAAAUGUAAUGAUUAUUUCAAUAAAAAAUGUUCUUGUUAGUCAUGUAAAUUAUAUAUUAUUUUAUGACAAAUUUGUAAAAUAAUAUUUCA